GAACGCUGGCGGCGUGCUUAACACAUGCAAGUCGAACGGAAAGGCCCUGCUUUUGUGGGGUGCUCGAGUGGCGAACGGGUGAGUAACACGUGAGUAACCUGCCCUUGACUUUGGGAUAACUUCAGGAAACUGGGGCUAAUACCGGAUAGGAGCUCCUUCUGCAUGGUGGGGGUUGGAAAGUUUCGGCGGUUGGGGAUGGACUCGCGGCUUAUCAGCUUGUUGGUGGGGUAGUGGCUUACCAAGGCUUUGACGGGUAGCCGGCCUGAGAGGGUGACCGGCCACAUUGGGACUGAGAUACGGCCCAGACUCCUACGGGAGGCAGCAGUGGGGAAUAUUGCACAAUGGGCGGAAGCCUGAUGCAGCAACGCCGCGUGCGGGAUGACGGCCUUCGGGUUGUAAACCGCUUUCGCCUGUGACGAAGCGUGAGUGACGGUAAUGGGUAAAGAAGCACCGGCUAACUACGUG
rnacentral:rRNA from 1 species